ensembl:snoRNA SNORA70 Small nucleolar RNA SNORA70
CCGCAGCCCACUAAGCCGACCGGCCGCCUGCCGUGGGGGCCCGGUGUGCAAUGGCUGCGCACAGCACUCCCCCUGGUUGUGUACGUGCUCCGUGCCCCAUACGGAGCGCCCUAAGGGACCGCGGGGACAUGG